CAGCAGCCGCGGUAAUACGGAGGGAGCUAGCGUUGUUCGGAAUUACUGGGCGUAAAGCGCGCGUAGGCGGUUACUCAAGUCAGAGGUGAAAGCCCGGGGCUCAACCCCGGAACUGCCUUUGAAACUAGGUGACUAGAAUCUUGGAGAGGUCAGUGGAAUUCCGAGUGUAGAGGUGAAAUUCGUAGAUAUUCGGAAGAACACCAGUGGCGAAGGCGACUGACUGGACAAGUAUUGACGCUGAGGUGCGAAAGCGUGGGGAGCAAACAGGAUUAGAUACCCGUGUAGUCCCUGUCUCUUAUAA
rnacentral:rRNA from 1 species